rnacentral:sRNA from 15 species
ACGUCUAACAAUUACGAGAGGUCCCACGCUCCACACGGAGCGGUGCUGAUGGCGCGACGGCACUGCACCUGACAAAUUUAUGAGACUUCUUUUAUAUAAGCCCGAAUUGAGCAGGUUAUGGCUACCACUAUUUUCGGCUGCCACGGCAAGUGUUAUCACGAAAUGUGCAGAUAAGAGCCUUAUGGGUCAACAUGCUAAUCAGUCGGCGGGUGUCGGGCAGUGGGACGGCAAAUGGGUGGAAGUAUUUGAUGGAUUGGCCUGAUGGACAAGAAUCACAGGGCAUUAUAUAACACUUAAUCGUUAAAAUGUUUACGUUUCCCAUACACAAGCAGAUCUUUAAUUGCGAUUGCACAUGCAUCUUGAACUUUAUUGGGGGCUGUCAGACAGAAGCAGAGACAGAGCUCGGCGCUCCUAUGCCUCAAAAAAGAUAAGGUACUCGCAGAUACGGAUGUCGGAGAUAAAGACACUUUUCGGGAGGCUAGACAAAAGAGCUUAAGCUCGAUUAGAACCAGUUGAAUUAUAGCGGAUCAGCGGGCAUGACCCGUCCCACCAGGAGACCCAUCCAGGCCCACUUCCGCUGCACUUGCACUUCGAGUUUGAGCGUUUUUCGAGGCACACUCAAACACCUUACGAGCAUAUAUGCUGCUGCCAGACGACUGUGACUGGGAACGCGGACGCGCAUCGACUGUGACUGACACUGAGCUGAGAUGUUGAGAUCUUGAGAAAUGAGAACUGAGAACUGAGAAACUGUAGCAGCAAAUGAGAUAAAGUCUACUUAGCUGGGUAUGUGCAAAUGCAAUAAUAUCAAUUUUCAUAUUUUCAUAUAGUACCAGCGAACCUACGAACGAAAGACAAAGCAAUUUAACAAUUUACUAAAGCACUUAAGCGCAAAUUUAGAUCCCGCCCGUGCUGAUACUGGAAUCCGAGCCGCGAGACGCGACUACUUACUAGACGCUGUAAAACGUAAGCCCCCCAAGGCACUGAGCGACUGUCCCUCUAUGAAUAAACAUCAUCAUCCCCAAGCAGUAUAGAUCUGGGAUAAGAAGUAGAUCUCAGAUUUAAUCAGCGCAGAUUACGGAGGCGCUGUCGCUAAUCUAUUGACUGUCACCGUCACCGUCACCGACACCGUCACCGACACCGACCCCGUCGUGCCCAUCUGAGCGUGCCGAGUGUUCCUGGUCUAUACAUAUAUUCUUUGACAUUUGCAGCAAUCAUCGGCUCAGUCCAGUCGGAGGGUUAGGUGAAUCACAUGGGUUGCCGAGGCCGUGGCUGUUGCUCUGCCCUGCGCCCAAUUGCUCUCCUUGAGCGUCGUCGAAAUUGCUACCUCCGAAAGUCAUUUAGGCGGUCUCUUUUGUCCGAUCAAAUGGGGGACCAGAUGGAGGUUGGGCGCACGGCCAAGGGUGAGGGCAGGUCAAUGCCAAUGAAAGCCAAUAGAUGUUAAUGAUGGGCUUGAUCAUUGGAGACAAAGAUCUCCACACGUGGCUGGCCCAGCCGUAGAGCCCAAAAGUGUGCAUCACAAUUUUGAUUGAACCAAACCCCAGAUAAAAUCUUUUGUUGAUGUUUUACUUUUUAGAUAUGUUCACUUUUAUUUAAAGAAUUUUACUUUGAUUUAUGCGUAAACACGAAUCAUCGCUUGCCAUUUUCUUUGUAUCUUUUUUUGUUUUCGAUUUCGAAUUCGUUUUGGUUUUUAGUUUUGUUUGAAAAUUUCUUCUAAAAUUUACUCGUGACUCGUAAUUUUCGCUCACUUUUUACGGUGUACUAAUGGAAUUUUACUGGCUUUUUGUUUUGUGGCUGUCGGUGUGUAAUGGUGUGUGUGUGAGUGUGUGUGGACUGACUUAAAAAUCAAUUUUGUUGCUCUUUUUAAGGUUAAACUUUAAUAUUGCUUAUAUAUUCUUUCUUUAAAUUACAUCAUUUUACAGUGAUAAUUAGAAGAUGCUAGCACUUGCCGUGUGGUUGUUUCUUGGUUUCUUGGGUUCUCUCUAAUAUAUAAAUAAUCUGGUUUGUUUUAAUUUAACUUUGAUACAAUUUACAGUUGAAACACUUAAACGUUAUUUGGAUAGUUAAAUUUAAAAAUGCCUAUAAUCCAGUAUUCUUUACUCUCUCUAUUGCCUCGAACUUUCUAUCUUAAAUUUGUAGCUGUAUCUGUAUCUUUAUCUUUAUCUGGCUGUAACACGUGCGUUUUGUUUGUGGUUUAAAUUUGAUUUAAUUUAUUUGGAUAGAUUUAGAUUUAGUUUUAGAGUAGAUGAAUUAUCCAUACGAUUAUCGAUACUAUCUUAUGUUCAGGUUUAAUUAUGUUUCGAGUAAAAGUCAAAGCAUUCUCCCCGUCCGUCCUCCAUCCAUUUACAAUAAUUGCCAUAUAUUUUAUAUGCUCUAUGCUAGGCUAUGCUAUGCUAUGCUUCAAUAUGUAUUCGAAUCAGUUUAUUCAUGUUGUGGGUGUAAGUAUAUUUAAUGGGGUUUUACUCGUAGUUGUUGUGCCAUUCGUCGUCGUUCAUUUAUUUAACUAAUUCAUGGAAACUGAUUAAAAACAUUUGCGCUGCCUGACUAAUUUCAUUGUCUGCUUUUGAUUAUCGCUAAAUCGCUCUUAUUGGUUACAUUUUGAUAUUUUUUCCAUAAAUGGCAUAAACUGGAUCGUACCUCCCUUUCCCCGCCCCACGGGCCAUAUGUACACACGAUCCGCACACGAUUCGCUACGAUUUGAAAAUAUUGCUUAGCGUACAUUACAUUUCUCCUUUAAAUUUUGUUUUUUUUUUUUUUUUUUGGCAAUUUUUUAUGUUUUUACAAGUUUCUGACGGAUUCUCAUGGUCUUCCCAUAGCAUUUCCAUUUCCUUUACAUUAUUUGUUACUUAUACGAGUAUAAAACAAUUAAAAUUAGUAUCGAAUGGCAGUUUGGUGUGUGUUUGUGUCUAUAAAUAUUUCGUUUGUGGUUCGUCGUUGGUUUAUUAAAAUUGAAUUGGUCUAUUGAUUGCACUCCUUCAAGUGAGUGCUUUAAAA